AUGAGGACACCCUGGGGAGUUCUGCUGGGGCUCCUGUGGCUCCAGGUUUGCUGGGUGAGAGGGAUGACGGUGGAGCAGACCCCUUCAGCCCUGAGCCUCCAGGAGGGAGCCAGCUCUAUUCUGAAGUGCAAUUUUUCUAGCAGUCCAUACAGUGUGCAGUGGUUUCGACAGCAUCCUGGGGGCAGCAACCUCACCGGACUGUUUUACAUAGUUUCAGGGAUGAAGCAGAGUGGAAGGUUAAACUGCACAGUGAAUACUAAGGAACAGUCCAGCACCCUCCACAUUACGGCGUCCCGACUGGAAGACUCAGCCACCUACCUGUGUGCGGUGGAGGCACAGUGCUCCCUGGUGAUCUGCAGCCUGCACCCAAACUGCAGCUGUGCCUGCAGCCCCUCCACCCACUUUGCUCCCAUGCAGCAGGCAUUUGCUCCCAUGCAGACUUUGCACAUUUUCAGAUUUAUGUAA